AAUUGCGUGAUGAGGACAGUUGCCUGGUUUGCUCCACCCAGCCUGAGCCUCCAGCAAAUAAGAAUGGGUGCUGCAAAGGCAGGGUUGAGGCUCUUGGAGACCUGAUGUGAUGGUGUAACUGGCAGCGAUGAAUUCUGUGAUGAGGGCAGUCGCCUGGUUUGCUCCACCGUAUCUGCCCCUCUGGCUGAGGAGAAUGGAAACGAAAAGGAAAAUGAAAACCAGUCCGAACACUGAAAGUACCAGGUUCAGCAAAGUUGGCCGGGUUCCUUUCCUUUUCUUUGGGAAAGCAAAAAGCCCAGAGAGAAAACCACUAAAAGCUUUUUAUUAAAGUAUUUAUCUUUCCUAUUUUCUAAGUAAGACUUCUGGCCACUUUGAACCUUCUCCAACUUUCAUUAAAGAUAAUAGCUUUUUAAUGACAACGAGUUUGUUUCCUUUA
rnacentral:lncRNA from 1 species